UCUACGGAUGAGUUAACAAUUGUAUUGUGUUUUAUAUUUAUACCAGAAGUGGAAAAAUUCUUCCGGGUCUAGCCUAGAUAAGUACAAUUAGGAAACCACGAUGAUUUUGUGAUAUGAGACUAUGGAGAAACUUCAGCUCUUGGUUCAUUUUCUUCUUAUAUCAUGGAAAUGUGAAGGGUUAACCAUAAAAAAUGUAACUCUUUACAACGAAGAAAAGUCAUGGGAGGAUGCUGCUAAUUUAUGUUUACAUAAAGGUGGUGUACUGGAAAGUAACGUCACGUUAUUGUCAGAACACUUUACAAACAAUGGAGACAGCAAAGACGUUUGGCUUGGCAAAAGCAAAUUAUUAACCCAGUGGACAUUUGUUCGAGGAUGCUUUUACAUUUAUGGAGACUUCAAACACUUUGUAAUUGAACCGUCUAAAACUGCAGAGCUUGAAUGCCAAAUGUUUUGUGGUGACUUCAAAUUUUAUAGUAUCAAAGAAACAGCUUGUUAUUGUAUUAAAGAAAUACUGUCAUUCCACAGAACCAAU